AGAUAAGGAUCUUACAGGUUAGGCAUUGGGCUUUGACCUUACUUUCCCGUGCAGUUUUGGAGAAGGAGAGCCUGUUGUUUAUGAAUUUUUUUUUUUUUCCCCUGUUCCCAAAUCUCUCCUUCCUUGAGUUCUUCCCCCUCUCUUCCUUUCCCUCUCGGUUAUGUGAAACUCGAAGAAUAAAACAAAACGAAGCAAAAACACUAUCAAAAUCUCUAGGGUUUUUUCAACUCUCAAUCUGUUCAAUCAAACGCUUUCAGAUUCCACUCUCUCCAUCGAAUUCUAUCACUUCCCUGUAAGUUACUGCGCAAUUCUCCCCCUCAUUCAGUUCUCUUUAUUCGAUCAUUUAAGCCUCAAUUGAUCUCGUCUAAUUUCUUUGCAUUCCCUCUUCUCUUCUUUAUUUUGACUUGUGUCUGUAUAAUCAGUUUUCUUUACUUAAUUUUUUUUAGGGUUUGGAUCGCCUUUAUUUUCGUCGAUUUUACCAGUCUCAAUCGUAAUUUUUCAUCUAUAAUUUGUUUCUGAAUGAAUUAUUCAUUGGAGAAGUCUGAAUUAAGCAAUAGAGACCAGUUGGAGAUUACGAAGGAUAUUACUACCCUGUGCUGAAUUCUCCAACAAUUGAUUAUUGCAUGUUGUUGCUUUAUGCAUAAGAAGCGGCGAUUAAUGGGUCGUUACUUUUAUUAGGGCAUAUCUGCGUUUUAUUUUUCUUUGACGAGGACAGUAUUCUGAUGCUGGUUAUGCCAUUCAUUAUAUUUUUAGAGUUGUAUGGAAGUGAGAACGCGUAUGCAUAGAUGAAGUGGGAUAACUUGCAAUGCUGGCGAUGAUGAUCUUAUAAUUGUAAAAUGGUAGCUCUAUUAGUAUGGAGUAGGAAGGAAAACUAUAUUAAGGAUAACUUGCUCUAUGUUACUGGCUCACUGUACCAUUCACACGAAUUCAAAUUAUGAUUCACCAAUCUACUAGUUUCUGCACCAGCCCCUGAAAGAUAGUGUUGGUUAUCUUUAUUUUGUGGAGGAGUUGUACUUUUACCUCAUGAUGCAUUUUUUUUGGGGGUUCAGUCCUUACUGGCCAGUUCAUGUGUUUCUACCCAUUUUGUAAUGUUUCAGUUAUUCUUUUUUUUUUUUUUGCUCUUUACAAUUUAGAAUUUUUUUCAUGCUGUUUCUGGACAGAGUUACUUGUAACAAAAAUUUAAUUUAUGGUAAGAAAAAUAUAGCUUAGCUGUGCACUUAGAAUCUGCUAUUUUGCUUCUACUGCAUUCAAUUAAAUGAAAAUGUAAAAGAUACUAGUUGGGUUCUUCACUUCCUCUAAUUAGCAUUGGGU
rnacentral:misc_RNA from 1 species